GAGAGAACAUUACAAGUUGGAACAUAGAAUUGAUGUCUAUCUAAACGUAUUUCCAAAUCAUAUAGGUUGAGCGAAAUCAUUGGCUCUGAUUUCCCUCUUAUUACAAACAAAACGACGAAACAAAUUGCAUUACAACUUACAAGCAUGACCACUUAAUUUGAGAAAAAGAGAACAAACUUAAAUAGGACAUAGGAUCAUCGCCAUACUGAUUUUUUCUUUUCAAGAACUCUUGAGUUCGACACAUUAAAAGCCUAAAUUAAAGCAAAAUCAGCAAAAGGCGUUGCAAUUUAAAAGCCAAAUAGAUUAUAGAAGAAAUUUUCAUGGAAUGUGGGUAGUAGGUGCUGCAGCAGCCAGCUUGGCUCUCAGAUCUUUUCUCAAAAUCUUUCCUGAAGGAGACUUGGGAAUUGCAUGAACAAAGUGCACCUUAUGCAAUCUCUUGUAGUAAACCACCUGUUUUGGUAAGCACAACAACAAAGGGAUUUUAUUGCUUAAGCCUUGGUACUUUGGUUUCAGAAUGUAAUUAGGAUGUUAUCUUCGUAUAUACCUGUCUAGCAAUGAAUUCCUUGACAGCUUCUUCAGUGAGUUCAAAACCGUUUGAUCGAACGACAAAUGCAACCGGAACUUCACCAGCAACUUCAUCUUUUUGCCUGUUAAAUGUUGCAGUAUGUGUAAGGUUGUACGUUCAAUAUUUUUCAAAGUUUUUCAUAUAUUUAGGGGAUUUUUAGAAGGUUUUAUUCUAGUACUUAAUCUCCAAAUAUGCCUCACACAAAUAUCCAAAGUGAAUACUUAAAAGAAAAAAAAAAGAACUGGGUAUAUGUAAGCCAUGAAUUGAACAUGUUGGAAAGUACAUACGGAACUACAGCUGCAUCUGCUAUUGAUGGAUGGCUUAUAAGGAGGGACUCAAGCUCAGCUGGUGGCACCUAAAUACAACAGAAACAAUGAGAAAAAUGCAAUUUGUAAAGGUUGCUUUAACCAAGAAACGAUGAAGGGAGAAAUUAACGUACUUGAAAGCCUUUGAAUUUGAUGAUUUCCUUUACUCUAUCAACAAUGAAAAUCUCAUCAUCUUCAUCCACGUAACCUAUAUCACCUGUAUGAAGCCAACCUUCCACAUCUAUGGUAGCUGCUGUGGCGACACUAUCGUUCAAGUAACCUUUCAUGAUUUGAGAUCCACGAAUGCAAAUCUCGCCAGGUUGAUUGUAACCAAGGGAGCAGCCAGUUUCAGGGUCAAUGACCUUAAGCUCUGCAUUCCUAACCACUGUCCCACAUGAACCUGACUUUGUAGGAAAGGGCUGCUUCGCAAAUCCCAGGCACAUUGAUAGAACUGGUCCUGCCUCUGUCAUUCCAUAUCC
rnacentral:lncRNA from 1 species